UUAAGCGACUAAGCGUACACGGUGGAUGCCCUGGCAGUCAGAGGCGAUGAAGGACGUGCUAAUCUGCGAUAAGCGUCGGUAAGGUGAUAUGAACCGUUAUAACCGGCGAUUUCCGAAUGGGGAAACCCAGUGUGUUUCGACACACUAUCAUUAACUGAAUCCAUAGGUUAAUGAGGCGAACCGGGGGAACUGAAACAUCUAAGUACCCCGAGGAAAAGAAAUCAACCGAGAUUCCCCCAGUAGCGGCGAGCGAACGGGGAGGAGCCCAGAGCCUGAAUCAGUGUGUGUGUUAGUGGAAGCGUCUGGAAAGGCGUGCGAUACAGGGUGACAGCCCCGUACACAAAAAUGCACAUACUGUGAGCUCGAUGAGUAGGGCGGGACACGUGGUAUCCUGUCUGAAUAUGGGGGGACCAUCCUCCAAGGCUAAAUACUCCUGACUGACCGAUAGUGAACCAGUACCGUGAGGGAAAGGCGAAAAGAACCCCGGCGAGGGGAGUGAAAAAGAACCUGAAACCGUGUACGUACAAGCAGUGGGAGCCUCUUUAUGGGGUGACUGCGUACCUUUUGUAUAAUGGGUCAGCGACUUAUAUUCUGUAGCAAGGUUAACCGAAUAGGGGAGCCGAAGGGAAACCGAGUCUUAACUGGGCGUUAAGUUGCAGGGUAUAGACCCGAAACCCGGUGAUCUAGCCAUGGGCAGGUUGAAGGUUGGGUAACACUAACUGGAGGACCGAACCGACUAAUGUUGAAAAAUUAGCGGAUGACUUGUGGCUGGGGGUGAAAGGCCAAUCAAACCGGGAGAUAGCUGGUUCUCCCCGAAAGCUAUUUAGGUAGCGCCUCGUGAAUUCAUCUCCGGGGGUAGAGCACUGUUUCGGCAAGGGGGUCAUCCCGACUUACCAACCCGAUGCAAACUGCGAAUACCGGAGAAUGUUAUCACGGGAGACACACGGCGGGUGCUAACGUCCGUCGUGAAGAGGGAAACAACCCAGACCGCCAGCUAAGGUCCCAAAGUCAUGGUUAAGUGGGAAACGAUGUGGGAAGGCCCAGACAGCCAGGAUGUUGGCUUAGAAGCAGCCAUCAUUUAAAGAAAGCGUAAUAGCUCACUGGUCGAGUCGGCCUGCGCGGAAGAUGUAACGGGGCUAAACCAUGCACCGAAGCUGCGGCAGCGACGCUUAUGCGUUGUUGGGUAGGGGAGCGUUCUGUAAGCCUGCGAAGGUGUGCUGUGAGGCAUGCUGGAGGUAUCAGAAGUGCGAAUGCUGACAUAAGUAACGAUAAAGCGGGUGAAAAGCCCGCUCGCCGGAAGACCAAGGGUUCCUGUCCAACGUUAAUCGGGGCAGGGUGAGUCGACCCCUAAGGCGAGGCCGAAAGGCGUAGUCGAUGGGAAACAGGUUAAUAUUCCUGUACUUGGUGUUACUGCGAAGGGGGGACGGAGAAGGCUAUGUUGGCCGGGCGACGGUUGUCCCGGUUUAAGCGUGUAGGCUGGUUUUCCAGGCAAAUCCGGAAAAUCAAGGCUGAGGCGUGAUGACGAGGCACUACGGUGCUGAAGCAACAAAUGCCCUGCUUCCAGGAAAAGCCUCUAAGCAUCAGGUAACAUCAAAUCGUACCCCAAACCGACACAGGUGGUCAGGUAGAGAAUACCAAGGCGCUUGAGAGAACUCGGGUGAAGGAACUAGGCAAAAUGGUGCCGUAACUUCGGGAGAAGGCACGCUGAUACGUAGGUGAAGUCCCUUGCGGAUGGAGCUGAAAUCAGUCGAAGAUACCAGCUGGCUGCAACUGUUUAUUAAAAACACAGCACUGUGCAAACACGAAAGUGGACGUAUACGGUGUGACGCCUGCCCGGUGCCGGAAGGUUAAUUGAUGGGGUUAGCGGUAACGCGAAGCUCUUGAUCGAAGCCCCGGUAAACGGCGGCCGUAACUAUAACGGUCCUAAGGUAGCGAAAUUCCUUGUCGGGUAAGUUCCGACCUGCACGAAUGGCGUAAUGAUGGCCAGGCUGUCUCCACCCGAGACUCAGUGAAAUUGAACUCGCUGUGAAGAUGCAGUGUACCCGCGGCAAGACGGAAAGACCCCGUGAACCUUUACUAUAGCUUGACACUGAACAUUGAGCCUUGAUGUGUAGGAUAGGUGGGAGGCUUUGAAGUGUGGACGCCAGUCUGCAUGGAGCCGACCUUGAAAUACCACCCUUUAAUGUUUGAUGUUCUAACGUUGGCCCCUAAUCGGGGUUGCGGACAGUGUCUGGUGGGUAGUUUGACUGGGGCGGUCUCCUCCUAAAGAGUAACGGAGGAGCACGAAGGUUGGCUAAUCCUGGUCGGACAUCAGGAGGUUAGUGCAAUGGCAUAAGCCAGCUUGACUGCGAGCGUGACGGCGCGAGCAGGUGCGAAAGCAGGUCAUAGUGAUCCGGUGGUUCUGAAUGGAAGGGCCAUCGCUCAACGGAUAAAAGGUACUCCGGGGAUAACAGGCUGAUACCGCCCAAGAGUUCAUAUCGACGGCGGUGUUUGGCACCUCGAUGUCGGCUCAUCACAUCCUGGGGCUGAAGUAGGUCCCAAGGGUAUGGCUGUUCGCCAUUUAAAGUGGUACGCGAGCUGGGUUUAGAACGUCGUGAGACAGUUCGGUCCCUAUCUGCCGUGGGCGCUGGAGAACUGAGGGGGGCUGCUCCUAGUACGAGAGGACCGGAGUGGACGCAUCACUGGUGUUCGGGUUGUCAUGCCAAUGGCACUGCCCGGUAGCUAAAUGCGGAAGAGAUAAGUGCUGAAAGCAUCUAAGCACGAAACUUGCCCCGAGAUGAGUUCUCCCUGACUCCUUGAGAGUCCUGAAGGAACGUUGAAGACGACGACGUUGAUAGGCCGGGUGUGUAAGCGCAGCGAUGCGUUGAGCUAACCGGUACUAAUGAACCGUGAGGCUUAACCUU
rnacentral:rRNA from 1 species